AGUGAACGCUGGCGGUAGGCCUAACACAUGCAAGUCGAACGGCAGCACAGUAAGAGCUUGCUCUUACGGGUGGCGAGUGGCGGACGGGUGAGGAAUACAUCGGAAUCUACUUUUUCGUGGGGGAUAACGUAGGGAAACUUACGCUAAUACCGCAUACGACCUACGGGUGAAAGCAGGGGAUCUUCGGACCUUGCGCGAUUGAAUGAGCCGAUGUCGGAUUAGCUAGUUGGCGGGGUAAAGGCCCACCAAGGCGACGAUCCGUAGCUGGUCUGAGAGGAUGAGCAGCAACAGGGGAACUGAGAAGCGGUCCAGACCCCACGGGAGGGCGGCAGGGGGGAUGUUUGAAGAAGGGGCACAGGCUGUACCGAGCCAUACGGGGUGGGGAAAAAGGGCUUUCGGGUUUAAAGCUCCUUUUGUGGAAAAAAAAAAAAAACGGUUUAAUCCCCGGCUGUCAGGAGGGGACCAAAAAAAUAGGACCCGGCUACCUCGGUC
rnacentral:rRNA from 1 species